rnacentral:lncRNA from 1 species
CACAGUCACCCCUUACCUAGGAUCUUUUAUUCAGACUCAAGAGAUAAUGUCAGCAAUGUGUAUAAAUACUGUGCUUUAAUGAACUCCUUAAAUAGAAAUGUCAGUGUAUAAAAUACACAAUUGGAAGAGACAGUGCAUCUCCCAUACCCACUGCGUGCCCAUAGAAAACCAAAGGGAAGAAACAAAUUGGAGUUAAGGAAGCAGCAAGAGGAGGUGAGAAUGAGGUCUGUAGGCCAUCGUGUUAAGACUGAUGGACAGCAUCUCUCACAAUUUAACAGCUGGAUAUCCAAAGGGAUAAAAUUGCCCUGGAAAAAAGGUAAUCAUGUUCUAGAAUGCUUUUGUUUCUUAAUUCCUUAAACCACAAGAAACCUAUCUUGAACCAAACAGGACAGGGCAAGAGUUGGAGAAGGUUAGCACCACACACUUGCAACAGAAAGGUCAGUGAGCUCGUUGAGUGCUGGAGUGUCAAAAGCUGAGACAGCAAGACCAGAUAAGAAGAAUCAGAAGGUUAGAACCCUUCCUCACUCUGGACCACCCUCUGCCAUGCCCAUAAAACAGACAGUAAUUAAGGGGCACCUGGGUCGCUCAGUCGGUUAAAAAAAAAAGACAGUAAUUUCAGCGGGAUUGGGAGAGAAUGGUAUUUGGGUCUCUUUUCUUGGAAUGAUCCUCAGGAGAUAUUCUUGGUGUCCAUUUCCUUAAAAGCUCCUGAAGAUGGGAUAGCUCAUCCUGGAGGCCAGAGAUUGUGGGAGCUGAGAGGCCUUUCUGGGGAGGGGGUAAAGAGAGGCAGAGAGGAAUAUUAUUGUAGCUCUAGCUCCCUGUUUCUGAGAUCUCUGUCCACUACUGGCAUCAUUUUUUUUUUUUAAGUAUAAUUAACUACAACAUCCUAUUAGUUUCAGGUGCAUAUUCUAGUGAUUUGGUAUUUUUAUACAUUACCAAGUGAUCCCCAUGACAAGUCUAGUUACCAUCACCGCUGGCAUCUUUAAUUCUCUCUUCCCCCUCCAGCUAUGCCUUAGGUUCUACUUGAUCUGAGCAACAACCAUCUGCAUCCCCACCACAUACACACUCCCAAACCUAUCCACUUGGAGUCCAAUAGGAAUGGUACUUCACUUCUCGAUCUCCCCAGGCCCUUGCUUUUCCACUCCUAGAAACAUUUACUUUCUCCUGAAACAUCUGGCUUAGUAGUCAAGCCCAUUCUCCCACUCCCAAUCCCUGUCUUCCCUCCUCACCUGGACCUCAGGCCUUCCCCUCAAGUAGCAGCGUCUCCACAGCCUGAUCUGGGGUCCCAGAUAUCCAGGCAGCAGCAACCCCGGGGGUAAAGGGCAAGCCCCCCAAUGUGAGGGGAGCCCCCACUCCUGAUCAGCCAGGCUUUCAGAGGAGAUAGCUGCUCGAGGGAGCCAACGAGAAGAGACUGCCAGCAGGGAAGGAUUGUCCCGCCAAGGACAGAGCUGAUUGAGGGGAGUCAGGGCCCCUCUGGAGAAGAGCCACACAGAACUGGGGGGUCCAGGAACCAUGAAGCUUGGCUAAAAGGAAAAGAGAAAUCAACUGGCAACCUAGAAACUAGAUGACCCCACUUUCCUCAAAAUGGGUCAGGAAGGAAUGUCUAACUGCCACCUACUCACACCGCAUUAGUGAUUGAACUAUAGGCCUCCCCCUGAGAACUCUAUCUUCUCUCCUCAUUAGGCUUCAAACUUCAAACUAGGCCUCAGGUCUCAUGAAAGUCAAUUUUAGGGAAACUUGUAAAAUGUGUGUAAGAGACAAAAACUAAUAAAGAUGAGGACAAGAAGGCUGCCCUCUGUGCUAUUCUAGGAUUUCUGCCUAAUCAGGAAUGUGAGGGUGUCAGGAACCCUGGCACUGUCAUGAAGAGCAAAACAUGUGACAGCUACAGAGGAAGUGUGGGGCAGCUUUCCCUGGGGAACUCAGACAUGAGUUCGUGGGAACUCAUGAACACUGGGAAGUGUCUUUGUACUUCUCCUUGUCUAAUAGGAUGAGCCUGUGAGAAAGGCAAAGGAAUUUAGGAAGUGUAGACAUCUCACCUGCUGUCUGGGAAGCCAGGAAUCUGGGCAGUGUUCUGGGUCAUAGCCAGGAUUAUGGAAUUGUAGUAUCUGUUCACUGUUGUAGCGUAAAUCCCAGUCCCAGACAGAUAGCUGCGAGUUAACAGAAUUCCCAGCAGGGGGUUGGCAGUACCCUGGGUUAUAGAUUUGUGUAUAGGAGUUGAACUGGACAGAGAAAACAAGAAAAAGGAUGGUAAAACAAAUAAAAUAAUCCUUUUCCCAAGUCUGUAUAGAAAUCAUGAAACGCUCACCUCUUCCUCUGGGAAUCAGAUGUAGGGUGAAAGUCCAGUCGUGAGAAUGGGCACCAACCUCCCCCUUUCCCAUCCACAGACCUCACUUUCCAUAAAUUAAGACUAAACUUCAGAGGGUACUUCUCAAGGAAAAGAAAAGACAAAUCAAAACUGGAACUCACUGACCUGUCCACCCUGUUUUCCACGCUCCCAGGGAGUAUCUCUCAGGAAUGUGAGGGUGUCAGGAACCCUGGCACUGUCAUGAAGAGCAAGAAGGAAAAACUCUGAGAAUUCAAACUCAGCUGGAAACUGCUGGAGGAGCUGCCAGACACAAUCAAGGAAGAGGAGAAACACUGGAGCCUGAGAAGGAGGAAAUUAAGAGGUUAGGAGGGAUUGUGGGCACCUAAAAGAGGAGGAUGACAAUGACGAGGGACGAGAGACACAGACAACAGGGCCACUAAGAUCAGGGAAUGGAAAUCCGAUUGAGGGUAGUAGGGAGUUGUGGUGCUUCAUUCAUCUAGGUCUCCCUUCAAGCUUAGCCUAAUCUCAGGAACCUUCUAACCUGAUUUCGCCUCCAGUGGAUUAUACUAUAUACUUUUCUCAUCCCCUUACAUCUUUGGUAAUACCUCCCCCCACUACUCUCCCAAAAUGAUCUCACCUCUUCACUGGCUCCAGUUACCCCAAGUCGGGUCAGGAAGGGGUGUCCAGCUGCCACCCACUCUCGCUGCACUAGUGAUUGGAAGCCAAGCAGUGUUCGGGCUUCAGGGACUGAAAGCAGCUGGACGAGUGAAGAGAGGAGGCCAUUGAAAUCACGAUCACCGCGCUCUGGGUGAUAAAGAGGGAGAAGGGACAAAGAAGAGGGGCCACGAAACUAGGGCAGAAGAAAAUGAGGAAAGGAAACGUGGCAAGAAGAAGAGAGAGGUACAGAGGGUUAAAGUUUUGGUAGGUAGGAUUGAGAGGGCAAAUAGAAGAGAAAAUAAAGACCUUGAAUGAUUCAGUCCAGACUCCACCUGGAUUGAAAUACCCAGCUUCACGUGCAGGAGGUAGAAUCACAAAUCUCAAACCAGCUUCUCCAUUGUUCUUCCCACCCCAACCCCGGUCACCAUCCACUGAUGGAAGCACGAGAACAGAAGGUGAAUAACCCUACUGUUAGGGACCACAAACUGUAGCAGCACUAGAGCUAGUAGUAGUACUACUACUGUGAGGCACAGGUAGCACUGAAGAAUGAUUUAGGUAGGGCCCAUGGGUAGUUCCUAGUAACAGGAUAAGGUCCUAGCACUAGAAGAGGACAAGGAAAACUUCUAGGUCUCCCUCCCAGUUGGGUGAGUAAAGGAAAAAGGAAGGAAUGGAGUAGGUUAACCCAAGAAACUCACCUUGUAGUACUACAGAGCGAACCCUGGAUGUCACUAGGACUGAGAUGUCACUGGCCUUUCGAAGACAAGACCUAGUGGGGCAGAGGAGAAAAAGGAGAGAAGAAUGAUAAGCCUGGAGGAAGGGAGUGAUGGGUCAUGGGAUGGAAUAGACGCAGACUCCAAAAUUCCGCCCCUUCCUCCUUCUAAGGAGCAGCAAAAAAAAAGAGUCUUCUUGAAACCAAAAAGAAGAGUUAAUGGAAGGCCAUUUAGGAGUUCAAGUUAACAGAAGGUUGGGGAGGGUUGAAUUAUAAAACAUAGCUAGAACAUGAGACAGUACCUGACAUAAUCCAACCAUCGUGUUCCUUCCAGGGCUGAGAGCCAUUUCUCCUCAGCUGCAGAUGAAUCUGAGAGAGAGUAGAGGGGUCAGAAGGACAAAGAGAUUGGGAGAACUCAGGAUUCAUG